UUUUUGUUUAAGCAAGUAAAGACUCAAUUUUUCUGUUAUUAGCAUAAUGAAAUGGGUAGUAAAUCAUGUUUCCUCUUGGUCUUUGGCAGGGUCUGAGAGAGACUAAGCAUCCAUACACUUUUGUGUCAAAGGAGGGUUUUAGAGAAUUACUUUUGGUCAAAGGUGCUCCUGAAAAAGCUAUUCCUUUGCUACCUAGACUGAUUCCUGUGCUAAAGGCAGCUCUGGUCCAUUCAGAUGAUGAAGUGUUUGAAAGAGGAUUGAAUGCUCUAGUUCAGCUAAGUGUCGUUGUUGGUCCUUCUCUAAACGACCAUCUGAAGCAUCUGCUUACAAGCCUUUCCAAGAGAUUAAUGGACAAGAAAUUCAAAGAGCCAAUCACCAGCGCAUUACAAAAGCUAGAGCAACGUGGCGGAAGUG
rnacentral:sRNA from 1 species